rnacentral:rRNA from 1 species
GACGAACGCUGGCGGCGUGCCUAAUACAUGCAAGUAGAACGCUGAAGAGAGGAGCUUGCUCUUCUUGGAUGAGUUGCGAACGGGUGAGUAACGCGUAGGUAACCUGCCUUGUAGCGGGGGAUAACUAUUGGAAACGAUAGCUAAUACCGCAUAACAAUGGAUGACACAUGUCAUUUAUUUGAAAGGGGCAAUUGCUCCACUACAAGAUGGACCUGCGUUGUAUUAGCUAGUAGGUGAGGUAACGGCUCACCUAGGCGACGAUACAUAGCCGACCUGAGAGGGUGAUCGGCCACACUGGGACUGAGACACGGCCCAGACUCCUACGGGAGGCAGCAGUAGGGAAUCUUCGGCAAUGGGGGCAACCCUGACCGAGCAACGCCGCGUGAGUGAAGAAGGUUUUCGGAUCGUAAAGCUCUGUUGUAAGUCAAGAACGAGUGUGAGAGUGGAAAGUUCACACUGUGACGGUAGCUUACCAGAAAGGGACGGCUAACUACGUGCCAGCAGCCGCGGUAAUACGUAGGUCCCGAGCGUUGUCCGGAUUUAUUGGGCGUAAAGCGAGCGCAGGCGGUUUGAUAAGUCUGAAGUUAAAGGCUGUGGCUCAACCAUAGUUCGCUUUGGAAACUGUCAAACUUGAGUGCAGAAGGGGAGAGUGGAAUUCCAUGUGUAGCGGUGAAAUGCGUAGAUAUAUGGAGGAACACCGGUGGCGAAAGCGGCUCUCUGGUCUGUAACUGACGCUGAGGCUCGAAAGCGUGGGGAGCGAACAGGAUUAGAUACCCUGGUAGUCCACGCCGUAAACGAUGAGUGCUAGGUGUUGGAUCCUUUCCGGGAUUCAGUGCCGCAGCUAACGCAUUAAGCACUCCGCCUGGGGAGUACGACCGCAAGGUUGAAACUCAAAGGAAUUGACGGGGGCCCGCACAAGCGGUGGAGCAUGUGGUUUAAUUCGAAGCAACGCGAAGAACCUUACCAGGUCUUGACAUCCCGAUGCUAUUUCUAGAGAUAGAAAGUUACUUCGGUACAUCGGUGACAGGUGGUGCAUGGUUGUCGUCAGCUCGUGUCGUGAGAUGUUGGGUUAAGUCCCGCAACGAGCGCAACCCCUAUUGUUAGUUGCCAUCAUUCAGUUGGGCACUCUAGCGAGACUGCCGGUAAUAAACCGGAGGAAGGUGGGGAUGACGUCAAAUCAUCAUGCCCCUUAUGACCUGGGCUACACACGUGCUACAAUGGUUGGUACAACGAGUUGCGAGCCGGUGACGGCAAGCUAAUCUCUUAAAGCCAAUCUCAGUUCGGAUUGUAGGCUGCAACUCGCCUACAUGAAGUCGGAAUCGCUAGUAAUCGCGGAUCAGCACGCCGCGGUGAAUACGUUCCCGGGCCU